rnacentral:rRNA from 1 species
GGACGAACGCUGGCGGCGUGCUUACCCCAUGCAAGUCGAACGGAAAGGCCCUGCUUUUGUGGGGUGCUCGAGUGGCGAACGGGUGAGUAACACGUGAGUAACCUGCCCUUGACUUUGGGAUAACUUCAGGAAACUGGGGCUAAUACCCAAUAGGUGCUCCUUCUGCGUGGUGGGGGUUGGAAAGUUUCGGUGGUUGGGGAUGGACUCGCGGUUUAUCAGCUGGUUGGUGGGGGAGUGGCUUACCACGGCUUUGACGGGUAGCCGGCCUGGGAGGGUGAACGGCCACAUUGGGACUGAGAUACGGAGCAGACUCGUACAGGAGGCAACGGGGGGGAGUAUUGCACAGUGAGAGGGAGUGUGAUGCAGAAACGCCGCGUGCGGAAUGACGGCCUGCGGGGUGAAAAACGCAUUCGCCUGUGACGAAGCGUGAGUGACGGUAAUGGAUAAAGAAGCACCGGCUAACUACGUG